rnacentral:rRNA from 1 species
UACGUAGGGGGCAAGCGUUGUCCGGAAUCAUUGGGCGUAAAGCGCGCGUAGGCGGCUCAGUAAGUCCGCUCUGAAAGCUUGGGGCUUAACCCCAAGAGGCGGGCGGAUACUGCUGGGCUCGAGUCCGGAAGAGGCGAGUGGAAUUCCUGGUGUAGCGGUGAAAUGUGUAGAGAGUCGGGAGGAACACCGGUGGCGAAGGCGGGUCUCUGGGCAAUUCCUGACGCUGAGGCGCGAAAGCGUGGGGAGCAAACGGG